UUGGAGGGCAAGUCUGGUGCCAGCAGCCGCGGUAAUUCCAGCUCCAAUAGCGUAUAUUAAAGUUGUUGCAGUUAAAAAGCUCGUAGUUGAAUUUCGGGGUUCUACCGUUGGUCGGGCUUUGUCUGUACUGGCGUGUAGAAUUUCUACCUUCUGGGGAACCAUUAUGUUAUUAAUUUAGCGUGGUGGGAAACCAGGACCUUUACCUUGAAAAAAUUAGAGUGUUCAAAGCAGGCUUAUGUCUGAAUACAUUAGCAUGGAAUAAUAGAAUAGGACGGUGGUCCUGUUUUG
rnacentral:rRNA from 1 species